rnacentral:rRNA from 1 species
UGUUUCGGCUAGGGGGCCAUCCCGGCUUACCAACCCGAUGCAAACUGCGAAUACCGGAGAAUGUUAUCACGGGAGACACACGGCGGGUGCUAACGUCCGUCGUGAAGAGGGAAACAACCCAGACCGCCAGCUAAGGUCCCAAAGUCAUGGUUAAGUGGGAAACGAUGUGGGAAGGCCCAGACAGCCAGGAUGUUGGCUUAGAAGCAGCCAUCAUUUAAAGAAAGCGUAAUAGCUCACUGGUCGAGUCGGCCUGCGCGGAAGAUGUAACGGGGCUAAACCAUGCACCGAAGCUGCGGCAGCGACACUUUAGUGUUGUUGGGUAGGGGAGCGUUCUGUAAGCCGUUGAAGGUGUCCUGUGAGGGGUGCUGGAGGUAUCAGAAG